GGCCAGGUGGUUAAGUUCAUGUGCUCUGCUUCGGUAGCCUGGGGUUUAUGGGUUCAGAUGCUGGGUGUGGACCUACACACCACUCAUUAAGCCGUACUGUGGCGGUGUCCCACAUAGAAGAACUAGAAUGACCUACAACUAGG
rnacentral:pre_miRNA from 1 species